rnacentral:rRNA from 1 species
AAGUAAAAGUCGUAACAAGGUUUCCGUAGGUGAACCUGCGGAAGGAUCAUUAAAGAGUAAGGGUGCUCAGCGCCCGACCUCCAACCCUUUGUUGUUAAAACUACCUUGUUGCUUUGGCGGGACCGCUCGGUCUCGAGCCGCUGGGGAUUCGUCCCAGGCGAGUGCCCGCCAGAGUUAAACCAAACUCUUGUUAUUUAACCGGUCGUCUGAGUUAAAAUUUUGAAUAAAUCAAAACUUUCAACAACGGAUCUCUUGGUUCUCGCAUCGAUGAAGAACGCAGCGAAAUGCGAUAAGUAAUGUGAAUUGCAGAAUUCAGUGAAUCAUCGAAUCUUUGAACGCACAUUGCGCCCCUUGGUAUUCCGAGGGGCAUGCCUGUUCGAGCGUCAUUACACCACUCAAGCUAUGCUUGGUAUUGGGCGUCGUCCUUAGUUGGGGGCGCCUUAAAGACCUCGGCGAGGCCACUCCGGCUUUAGGCGUAGUAGAAUUUAUUCGAACGUCUGUCAAAGGAGAGGAACUCUGCCGACUGAAACCUUUAUAUUUUUUCUAGGUUGACCUCGGAUCAAGUAGGGAUACCCGCUGAACUUAAGCAUAUCA